AUAGAGUUAUUGUGUACCAUGAGAUCAGGGACAACACAAAGGACAUUUCCACCUUGGGAGCGUAUUCACUGGAUAGCAACAGCCUCUAUGUGAAUGGUUACCAUGAAUCAGCUCCUUCAGCCCCACCAUUUGUGACCACAACACCAAAUGUGCAAUCACAAUCUUUUGAUUUUAAUGUGACUUUCACUAUUACUAACCUGGUUCCAACAACAAACCUAAUAUCAUCCAAUUCUGCACUGCAUAAAUCAGCCUCGAAUAUUAUUGCUUACCAGUUGAACAAACUGUUUACAAACAGCAACAUCAAUAAAACAUUCUCAAGUUGCAAAGUUCAAUCGUUCAGUCCAGCAAAUGCUGCUAGCACCAGCGUGUACACAAUCUGCACAUUCACAAAUGAUUCAAAUCCUCAAGAGGUUAAUAAAGUUACUGCGUACCAUGAGA